UACGUAGGGACCAAGCGUUGUCCGGAAUCAUUGGGCGUAAAGAGCGUGUAGGCGGCUUGUUAAGUCUUGCGUGAAAUCUCGGGGCUCAACCCCGAGCGGUCGUGAGAAACUGGCAGGCUAGAGUGCGGGAGAGGAGAGUGGAAUUCCUGGUGUAGCGGUGGAAUGCGUAGAGAUCGGGAAGAAUACCCGUGGCGAAGGCGGCCGACUGGGCCGGAUCCGACGCUGAUGCGCGAAAGCGUGGGGAGCAAACAGG
rnacentral:rRNA from 1 species